UACGUAGGUUGCAAGCGUUGUCCGGAUUUACUGGGUGUAAAGGGCGUGUAGGCGGAGAUGCAAGUUGGGAGUGAAAUCCAUGGGCUCAACCCAUGAACUGCUCUCAAAACUGUAUCCCUUGAGUAUCGGAGAGGCAAGCGGAAUUCCUAGUGUAGCGGUGAAAUGCGUAGAUAUUAGGAGGAACACCAGUGGCGAAGGCGGCUUGCUGGACGACAACUGACGCUGAGGCGCGAAAGCGUGGGGAGCAAACAGG
rnacentral:rRNA from 1 species